GAUGAACGCUGGCGGCGUGCCUAAUACAUGCAAGUCGAGCGAACGGACGAGAAGCUUGCUUCUCUGAUGUUAGCGGCGGACGGGUGAGUAACACGUGGAUAACCUACCUAUAAGACUGGGAUAACUUCGGGAAACCGGAGCUAAUACCGGAUAAUAUUUUGAACCGCAUGGUUCAAAAGUGAAAGACGGUCUUGCUGUCACUUAUAGAUGGAUCCGCGCUGCAUUAGCUAGUUGGUAAGGUAACGGCUUACCAAGGCAACGAUGCAUAGCCGACCUGAGAGGGUGAUCGGCCACACUGGAACUGAGACACGGUCCAGACUCCUACGGGAGGCAGCAGUAGGGAAUCUUCGGCAAUGGGCGAAAGUCUGACGGAGCAACGCCGCGUGAGUGAAGAAGGUUUUCGGAUCGUAAAACUCUGUUAUUAGGGAAGAACAAAUGUGUAAGUAACUGAGCACAUCUUGACGGUACCUAAUCAGAAAGACACGGCUAACUACGUG
rnacentral:rRNA from 1 species